UAGAAAUACUGUGUGCCAGGCUGGUAUUGUUAUAUCUAUUGUGUGCCAGGAUGGUAUUGUUAUAUUUAUUGUGUGCCAGGCUGAUGUUGUUAUAAAUACUGUGUGCCAGGCUGGUUUUGUUAUAUCUAUUGUGUGCCAGUCUGGUAUUGUUAUAAAUGCUGUGUGCCAGGAUGGUAUUGUUAUAUCUAUUGUGUGGCAGGCUGGUAUUGUUAUAAAUGCUGUGUGCCAGGCUGUUGUUAUAUCUAUUGUGUGCCAGGAUGGUAUUGUUAGAAAUACUGUGUGCCAGGCUGGUAUUGUUAUAUCUAUUGUGUGCCAGGCUGGUAUUUUUAUAAAUGCUGUGUGCCAG